rnacentral:lncRNA from 1 species
AAUUGACUUUUUGGUUUUGGAAAAAUUUGUUGUAAUUGUUUGCUUACUUUUUGUGGCGAGUUUCAUGAAGAAAGUGUAGUUUUGGAUAAAUUUUGGAUUAUAAAAACACACUCGCCAUAUUUCCCGAUUUACUCACGCACACGCCCGUAUGUUGCACAUUGAAAAUUUGAUAUUUUCAUUCGCGCUCUCUCACUCACUCUUCUUGCGUAGUAUCACGCGCCCGACGCGUUCCUCGCGUUUCAGUUCAUUAAAAUUACAAUAUUUAUUCAAUUUUCUUCCACGGCGCGCUGUUAUUUUGUUGGAUUUACGGAUUUUUCUUGGAAGCGCCUACCGUUUUUUGUUGUUUCGUUUUUCGCGGACGCAGUGUUACCGUGGAUUUAUCUUUGAGACAUACCGUCCCACCCUCGGAAAUAUUCCGAAGUACUCCUUGUCGCAUGCAAAAUAUACCAAAAG